GAUGAACGCUGGCGGCGUGCCUAAUACAUGCAAGUCGAGCGAACAGACGAGGAGCUUGCUCCUCUGACGUUAGCGGCGGACGGGUGAGUAACACGUGGAUAACCUACCUAUAAGACUGGGAUAACUUCGGGAAACCGGAGCUAAUACCGGAUAAUAUAUUGAACCGCAUGGUUCAAUAGUGAAAGACGGUUUUGCUGUCACUUAUAGAUGGAUCCGCGCUGCAUUAGCUAGUUGGUAAGGUAACGGCUUACCAAGGCAACGAUGCGUAGCCGACCUGAGAGGGUGAUCGGCCACACUGGAACUGAGACACGGUCCAGACUCCUACGGGAGGCAGCAGUAGGGAAUCUUCCGCAAUGGGCGAAAGCUUGACGGAGCAACGCCGCGUGAGUGAUGAGGGUCUUCGGAUCGUAAAACUCUGUUAUUAGGGAAGAACAAAUGUGUAAGUAACUAUGCACAUCUUGACGGUACCUAAUCAGAAAGCCACGGCUAACUACGUG
rnacentral:rRNA from 1 species